rnacentral:rRNA from 1 species
GACAGAGGGUGCAAACGUUAUUCGGAAUUACUGGGCGUAAAGCGUGCGUAGACGGUUACAUAAGUCGGAUGUGAAAGCCCCGGGCUCAACCUGGGAAUGGCAUUCGAGACUGUGUAGCUAGGAUGCGGAAGAGGGAAGCGGAAUUUCCGGUGUAGCGGUGAAAUGCGUAGAUAUCGGAAGGAACACCAGUGGCGAAAGCGGCUUCCUGGUCCAGCAUCGACGUUCAGGCACGAAAGCGUGGGGAGCAAACAGG